UACGUAGGGUGCAAGCGUUAAUCGGAAUUACUGGGCGUAAAGGGCUCGUAGGUGGCCAACUCAGUCGGACGUGAAAUCCCUCGGCUUAACCGGGGAACUGCGUCCGAUACUGGAUGGCUUGAGAUCGGGAGAGGGAUGCGGAAUUCCAGGUGUAGCGGUGAAAUGCGUAGAUAUCUGGAGGAACACCGGUGGCGAAGGCGGCAUCCUGGACCGACACUGACGCUGAGGCACGAAAGCGUGGGGAGCAAACAGG
rnacentral:rRNA from 1 species